AGCUUUAUGUUGAAGUUAUUUCAAUGCAUUGUGAAAUUAAAAUUUGCUGACUGAUGCAGUUUGAUUGAAGCGCAAAAAGUUGAUUGAUUAAUUUUGGUUAUUUACCGGGGUGCUAAGUAUUGGCGCCAAAGAAGGGCAAAGGCAAGCAGCCUAAGGCAGCCCUAAGUGUUGGUGACAAAGACAAGGACAAAGGCAAUGCUGCUGAGAUUGGAGUUUGAAAUUUGUUUAUUAACUUGGACAGAUUGCUAUAUUUAUAGGUUGUAUAGCUUGCAUAUAUUGUUGCAGACGUGGAACUCACCAACAAUGACAAGUCUUAAGAUCACUCCACACUUAAGGAUGAUGACAAAAAGAUUCGGUGAAACCAAAAAAAUUUUUUAAACUAUUUUUCUAAUAUGUUUGCGUUUCAUAUAUAACUUACGAGCGGAGAAGACUAAGAUCUAAAAUACUAUUAUAAAAGUAAAUCAAGUUGUUAUCUUUGGGAUUAUGACCCAAUAAUAAAAACCCAAGAAAUAACGUGUAAUAAUUUCAGAACCAUAAAAAUUAAUCAACUCAAUUCAAUGACAUAAACUUUGAACCCUUUGAAAUAAAUUUUUCCCAAGAUCCCAGUGAUGACCGGCAUUGCCAACAAUCAAGCAUCGGAAAAGCGUGAAGAGAGAGUGAGAGGGAGCAGACAGUUUACUCUAGUGCAGUCGACCAAGGAACGCGCUGUGUCAAUGGCAAGACAUAUUGGUAAUAAAUUGACUUCCACCGAAAGCCAAAAAGUGUGUUACGUUACUAAAUAAUCGGGUCAUUACAUUGGCGACGAGUGACAAUAUCGUUUUGCUGAAGGAGGACAACAUUCCACCGUUGAGAUGGCAGCUUGGGCUCAUCUAGGAAGUCAUAUCCGGCGGGGACGGCGACAUCAGAGUAGCCAUCGCCGAACUAGCCGUUCUGGCCAUAUAUUCCAAUAUAGUUGCAACCGUAACCCUUUCAAUAAGGGGAGUAUGUUCGGAGAACAUCGCUAGCGCAUAGUCAUGCGCGCAUAGGUCUCAUCUCGCCCUUCUUUCUUCUCUUGCUAAAACAGAGCAUAAAUAUACAUUAAUAUAAUCAAAAUAUAACCCUAAGAGUGGCAUAUUGGUUGUCUUCCCCGUAAACAAUUUGGUUUAUGAAAUAACAUGGCAAAUAGAUCGGUUAUUGCUUGAUUUAAUGUUACCGUAGUUUUUUUUAAGAAAUAGCGAGGAAGGGUACGAAAUUGGUUUGGAGGUAUGUUAGAGAUUGACGGUUAACAAAUUAUUUAAUUCCGGCUUUCGCAAUAAAAUUAUUUAACCUCCGAAAAAUGGCCUUGCGAAAACAAUGAAUUCGUUUGGUUGACUUCUGAUUUCUCUUUUAUUACCGUAACUAUGUCGAUUGUCACUCGAAAGUAGGUUGAUAUGGAUCUUCAGGUUGAGUAAGAAGCGCUACUCAGACAUAGAUCCCAUAAUCAACCAAGAGAGGUUUGGAUAUAAUUAACCUGCAUUUUGAUAGGAGACAACAUUAAUUUGCGACAGCCAUAAUUCGAGCCAGGCGUCAAAAAAGUCAUAAAGCCAAUAAAUUUCUUUAAGAAGAGAAGAAGAUAAUGGAAAUGGAUAGGCACAGGCAACCGGACUCGAAGAGAGAUACUUGGUGCCUGUUUUGGAUUCACGUUCUCGAUUGAACUUUAUAUCCGAAAAGUUCUCCCAAAGGCUUCGGCUGUCACGGAGCAACCUAUAGAUUCGAAGCAUGGGUGAGAGUUUACUUACGCCGGAGCAGCGAAACUGGAAGUUCGACUGCCAUUAAAAUUGUUAAAUACCGUUUUCUGAGCCUCGUUCGACAUUGCCAGGGCGAGAUUCCUAUCUCUUGAUCGCAGACUCUGAAAGAGGCCUAAGGUAAGCCCGAAUAUGUAAAGACCUAGGACACAUGUGUGUCGUAAGUCAUCCACAGUCAAACACUCCACAUAAUUAUAUUACUCACCACUGCGUGCUCAAGCCUAAUAUCACUUCAAUUAAACUUAGAGUGGUUUUUAAUGCAUCAGCCACGUCCUGAAAUCGCUCAACGAUUUUUUAUAGAUCCGACCUACCACAAUUAAGACAAAUCGUUGUACAUUUUUCCAUCGUUUUCGUAUACAUCGCUAUGCGAAGUAUGACUGCUGAUGUUAUUAAGAUGUUCCGCCAUAUCAACGUGUCAGCCGAGGAUCGCAGCUUCCAAUACAUCCUUUGAGGAGCUUUGCCAUUGCAAUCAUUGAGCACCUUCAAAUUGAGAACAUAUUGACAACUGAGGCUAAAGCCAUAAAAUCGCCGUUCUAUGUGAAUGACUUACCUGGUGGAGCGAAUACGGAAGUGGAACUAAAUUAAAUCAAAAGGGAAGUUACAGCUAUUCUACAGAAUGGCCAAUUGGCCUUAAAUGGGACCAAGUACGAGACAUAUUCAUGUUUUCGUUCUCACCAAGAAUUGAUUCAGACAACAUAUUCUUGCGUGGCUUGCGUCAUUGGAGUCUGUCGAGAUACCACGAUAUCGUCUCUAGGCAGCGCACUCUUCAGAUACACGGCUUCUGUGACGCCUCCAUAAGUGCUGCUGCAUCUACGCACGCAUACUGAAAUGUGCCAAAAUUCAGAGUUGCUCCCAACAAGAAACUAUCUCUAUCAAAGGUAGAAUUUUGUGGAGCACAUUUGUACGCAGAACUCUAGCAAAAUAUUAAAUCAAUCUUCGCAGACAGAGAGCCAAUCUAGUACUUAUGGUGCGAUUCUCUAAUUGUUCUAUAUUGGAAUCACUCGGCCACAUUAUCGAACUUUGUCGGCAAUCGAAUUGCUGAAAUUCAAGAAAUUACAUUAGAACGCCACUGGAGGCAAGUUCCUACUGUGAGGAGUUAAAACUCUGCACAAACGCAGAUGUCAACUGCGGAACGAGGGCCUACCUGUUGUCAAUUACGCAACAAAUCAGCCCGUAGUAACGUCAUUGCAAGAGUGAUGGUUUGGAGAAAGGGAUUUUAUAGAAACGGAAUUUGUAAAGAGAGAGUUUGGAGAAACAGAGUCUGGUCAAUGGGAGAUUGAGAGUCUAAAGGAACAGAGUUUGGAGAAAUUCAAUGGGGAGAGCGCGAGUGAACCUGAAAAAAAUGAAGUUAAAAAGAGGGUACAUGCCUGCCGAUACGAAGCUGAACUUUGGACGAUGCAAACAGUAAUGCCGUGGAGUUUGGAUCUGGAGGCAUCAAGGAAUAAUGGCUAAGGGUGGUCUAUAUAAGCAGGCUGAGCGCUGAAAGUCGAUAAGAACGAGAAAACAAUCGAACAACUCGAAGCAACUUUGUCGCAUCGCAGUCGAGAAGGAGGCAGUAGCGGGACAGGCGAAAAAAAA